AUAUAUAUAUCAAACCUCUCUCUUGUUGAGUUGUUUGGAUGUGGGGGUUUGCUGGCCUCGUUCAGCUCUCCUGAAAUGCAUUAGCAGAACAACCUGUUCAUUGGUGUGAUAAACUAUCUACGCUAUUGAAUGUGAAGGGGGAGUUCAGCUUUCUAACAGUCUUUGGACAAGUUCAUCAUUA
rnacentral:misc_RNA from 1 species